rnacentral:tRNA from 1 species
GCCUUCUUGGUGUAGUGGUCAGCACGCUUGACGCGGUGUAACCGAGAAGUCCGUGGUUCGAUUCCCGGCGAAGGCG